rnacentral:tRNA from 1 species
UCCUCGCUAGUGUAGGGGUAAGUAUCCCCAUCUGUCACACGGGAGACCGGGGUUCGAUUCCCUGAUGGGGAG